rnacentral:rRNA from 1 species
GUGCAGGAAGAAUGCCCUAUGGGUAGUAAACUGCUUUUAUACGGGAAGAAAAAGAGCUACGUGUAGCUUACUGACGGUACCGUAAGAAUAAGGACCGGCUAACUCCGUGCCAGCAGCCGCGGUAAUACGGAGGGUCCGAGCGUUAUCCGGAAUUAUUGGGUUUAAAGGGUCCGUAGGCGGGCCGAUAAGUCAGGGGUGAAAGUCUGCCGCUCAACGGUAGAACUGCCUUUGAUACUGUCGGUCUUGAGUUAUAGUGAAGUUGCCGGAAUAUGUAGUGUAGCGGUGAAAUGCAUAGAUAUUACAUAGAACACCGAUUGCGAAGGCAGGUGACUAACUAUAUACUGACGCUGAUGGACGAAAGCGUGGGGAGCGAACAGGAUUAGAUACCCUGGUAGUCCACGCCGUAAACGAUGGAUACUAGCUGUCCGGGGCCUUGAGUUCUGGGCGGCCAAGCGAAAGUGAUAAGUAUCCCACCUGGGGAGUACGUUCGCAAGAAUGAAACUCAAAGGAAUUGACGGGGGCCCGCACAAGCGGUGGAGCAUGUGGUUUAAUUCGAUGAUACGCGAGGAACCUUACCAGGGCUUAAAUGCAUAUUGACAGGGUCAGAGAUGACUUUUCCUUCGGGCAAUUUGCAAGGUGCUGCAUGGUUGUCGUCAGCUCGUGCCGUGAGGUGUCAGGUUAAGUCCUAUAACGAGCGCAACCCCUACCGUUAGUUGCCAGCAUGUCAUGAUGGGGGACUCUAACGGGACUGCCGGUGCAAACCGUGAGGAAAGUGGGG